UCUGACCUCAGUGGAAGUUGUUCGUUUAAAUGGUUUCGGGACAUUGAAGUAAAACAACACGAGAAUGUCCCACCAAGAGUGAAGGGCUGCCUGUUUGCUUCAGAUUCCCAGUCCUCCUCGCUGAUGAUUUCUGAAGUCCUUACGCAGUCACCCCAGUCUUCAACCUCAGUUUGUACAGAUGAGAUGCCAUACACAGGGGAUCCGACAGAAGACAGCAGACAGAAUUCGUCGAUCUAUUUGAAAUGUCAUUGUUUAUUUGAAAAAAGAUACCUAUCCACA